rnacentral:rRNA from 1 species
GGGCGGUUCCCCCUUCGGGGGGACAGGGUGACAGGUGGUGCAUGGUUGUCGUCAGCUCGUGUCGUGAGAUGUUGGGUUAAGCCCCCGCAACGAGCGCAACCCUCGACCUUAGUUGCCAGCAUUCAGUUGGGCACUCUAAGGUGACUGCCGGCUAAAAGUCGGAGGAAGGUGGGGAUGACGUCAAAUCAUCAUGCCCCUUAUGACCUGGGCUACACACGUGCUACAAUGGGCGGUACAAAGGGUCGCGAACCCGCGAGGGGAGCCAAUCCCAAAAAGCCGCUCUCAGUUCGGAUUGCAGGCUGCAACUCGCCUGCAUGAAGCCGGAAUCGCUAGUAAUCGCGGAUCAGCAUGCCGCGGUGAAUACGUUCCCGGGCCUU